GAAAAGGGUAUCUGCCGCUUACAUGGCACAUUGGCCUUAUGGUCGGUGGGGUAUGGCAAUCAAGACAUACCGGAUAUAUAAUUUUUGACAACAUGGACUGUUGCAUACCAUGUGUAUCAGCGUCCAU